rnacentral:rRNA from 1 species
AAGAGUUUGAUCAUGGCUCAGAUUGAACGCUGGCGGCAGGCCUAACACAUGCAAGUCGAACGGUAACAGGAAGCAGCUUGCUGCUUCGCUGACGAGUGGCGGACGGGUGAGUAAUGUCUGGGAAACUGCCUGAUGGAGGGGGAUAACUACUGGAAACGGUGGCUAAUACCGCAUAACGUCGCAAGACCAAAGAGGGGGACCUUCGGGCCUCUUGCCAUCAGAUGUGCCCAGAUGGGAUUAGCUUGUUGGUGAGGUAACGGCUCACCAAGGCGACGAUCCCUAGCUGGUCUGAGAGGAUGACCAGCCACACUGGAACUGAGACACGGUCCAGACUCCUACGGGAGGCAGCAGUGGGGAAUAUUGCACAAUGGGCGCAAGCCUGAUGCAGCCAUGCCGCGUGUAUGAAGAAGGCCUUCGGGUUGUAAAGUA